UGUUAAAAAAUCAUUUAUUUGUGCUCUUAAAAACUAUCAUGGCUGACGAAAUAAUCAAAUACUACCAUGUGAUAUGCCAUGUGUAACUCAUACUAAUGUACAUGGUUCAGUUUUUAACCGCAGAAAUGGAUGAAAUUUUGAACA
rfam:Gossypium hirsutum cultivar TM-1 unplaced genomic scaffold scaffold413.1, whole genome shotgun sequence